rnacentral:rRNA from 1 species
AUGCUGGAGGUAUCAGAAGUGCGAAUGCUGACAUAAGUAACGAUAAAGCGGGUGAAAAGCCCGCUCGCCGGAAGACCAAGGGUUCCUGUCCAACGUUAAUCGGGGCAGGGUGAGUCGACCCCUAAGGCGAGGCCGAAAGGCGUAGUCGAUGGGAAACAGGUUAAUAUUCCUGUACUUGGUGUUACUGCGAAGGGGGGACGGAGAAGGCUAUGUUGGCCGGGCGACGGUUGUCCCGGUUUAAGCGUGUAGGCUGGUUUUCCAGGCAAAUCCGGAAAAUCAAGGCUGAGGCGUGAUGACGAGGCACUACGGUGCUGAAGCAACAAAUGCCCUGCUUCCAGGAAAAGCCUCUAAGCAUCAGGUAACAUCAAAUCGUACCCCAAACCGACACAGGUGGUCAGGUAGAGAAUACCAAGGCGCUUGAGAGAACUCGGGUGAAGGAACUAGGCAAAAUGGUGCCGUAACUUCGGGAGAAGGCACGCUGAUAUGUAGGUGAAGCGACUUGCUCGUGGAGCUGAAAUCAGUCGAAGAUACCAGCUGGCUGCAACUGUUUAUUAAAAACACAGCACUGUGCAAACACGAAAGUGGACGUAUACGGUGUGACGCCUGCCCGGUGCCGGAAGGUUAAUUGAUGGGGUCAGCGCAAGCGAAGCUCUUGAUCGAAGCCCCGGUAAACGGCGGCCGUAACUAUAACGGUCCUAAGGUAGCGAAAUUCCUUGUCGGGUAAGUUCCGACCUGCACGAAUGGCGUAAUGAUGGCCAGGCUGUCUCCACCCGAGACUCAGUGAAAUUGAACUCGCUGUGAAGAUGCAGUGUACCCGCGGCAAGACGGAAAGACCCCGUGAACCUUUACUAUAGCUUGACACUGAACAUUGAGCCUUGAUGUGUAGGAUAGGUGGGAGGCUUAGAAGUGUGGACGCCAGUCUGCAUGGAGCCGACCUUGAAAUACCACCCUUUAAUGUUUGAUGUUCUAACGUGGACCCGUGAUCCGGGUUGCGGACAGUGUCUGGUGGGUAGUUUGACUGGGGCGGUCUCCUCCUAAAGAGUAACGGAGGAGCACGAAGGUUGGCUAAUCCUGGUCGGACAUCAGGAGGUUAGUGCAAUGGCAUAAGCCAGCUUGACUGCGAGCGUGACGGCGCGAGCAGGUGCGAAAGCAGGUCAUAGUGAUCCGGUGGUUCUGAAUGGAAGGGCCAUCGCUCAACGGAUAAAAGGUACUCCGGGGAUAACAGGCUGAUACCGCCCAAGAGUUCAUAUCGACGGCGGUGUUUGGCACCUCGAUGUCGGCUCAUCACAUCCUGGGGCUGAAGUAGGUCCCAAGGGUAUGGCUGUUCGCCAUUUAAAGUGGUACGCGAGCUGGGUUUAGAACGUCGUGAGACAGUUCGGUCCCUAUCUGCCGUGGGCGCUGGAGAACUGAGGGGGGCUGCUCCUAGUACGAGAGGACCGGAGUGGACGCAUCACUGGUGUUCGGGUUGUCAUGCCAAUGGCACUGCCCGGUAGCUAAAUGCGGAAGAGAUAAGUGCUGAAAGCAUCUAAGCACGAAACUUGCCCCGAGAUGAGUUCU